GGAUGUAGCCAAGUGGUAGAGUAGUUGUCUAGCAUGCACAAUGGCCUGGGUUCAAUCCCCAGCACCA
rnacentral:tRNA from 1 species